rnacentral:rRNA from 1 species
UUGAACGCUGGCGGCAGGCCUAACACAUGCAAGUCGAGCGGAUGAAGGGAGCUUGCUCCUGGAUUCAGCGGCGGACGGGUGAGUAAUGCCUAGGAAUCUGCCUGGUAGUGGGGGAUAACGUCCGGAAACGGGCGCUAAUACCGCAUACGUCCUGAGGGAGAAAGUGGGGGAUCUUCGGACCUCACGCUAUCAGAUGGGCCUAGGUCGGAUUAGCUAGUUGGUGGGGUAAAGGCCUACCAAGGCGACGAUCCGUAACUGGUCUGAGAGGAUGAUCAGUCACACUGGAACUGAGACACGGUCCAGACUCCUACGGGAGGCAGCAGUGGGGAAUAUUGGACAAUGGGCGAAAGCCUGAUCCAGCCAUGCCGCGUGUGUGAAGAAGGUCUUCGGAUUGUAAAGCACUUUAAGUUGGGAGGAAGGGCAGUAAGUUAAUACCUUGCUGUUUUGACGUUACCAACAGAAUAAGCACCGGCUAACUUCGUG